CUUUUACAAUGAAGAGUUUGAUCCUGGCUCAGGAUGAACGCUAGCUACAGGCUUAACACAUGCAAGUCGAGGGGCAGCAUCAUCAAAGCUUGCUUUGAUGGAUGGCGACCGGCGCACGGGUGAGUAACACGUAUCCAACCUGCCGACAACACUGGGAUAGCCUUUCGAAAGAAAGAUUAAUACCGGAUGGCAUAGUUUUCCCGCAUGGGAUAAUUAUUAAAGAAUUUCGGUUGUCGAUGGGGAUGCGUUCCAUUAGGCAGUUGGCGGGGUAACGGCCCACCAAACCGACGAUGGAUAGGGGUUCUGAGAGGAAGGUCCCCCACAUUGGAACUGAGACACGGUCCAAACUCCUACGGGAGGCAGCAGUGAGGAAUAUUGGUCAAUGGACGAGAGUCUGAACCAGCCAAGUAGCGUGAAGGAUGACUGCCCUAUGGGUUGUAAACUUCUUUUAUACGGGAAUAAAGUGAGCCACGUGUGGCUUUUUGUAUGUACCGUAUGAAUAAGGAUCGGCUAACUCCGUGCCAGCAGCCGCGGUAAUACGGAGGAUCCGAGCGUUAUCCGGAUUUAUUGGGUUUAAAGGGAGCGUAGGCGGGUUGUUAAGUCAGUUGUGAAAGUUUGCGGCUCAACCGUAAAAUUGCAGUUGAUACUGGCGACCUUGAGUGCAACAGAGGUAGGCGGAAUUCGUGGUGUAGCGGUGAAAUGCUUAGAUAUCACGAAGAACUCCGAUUGCGAAGGCAGCUUACUGGAUUGUAACUGACGCUGAUGCUCGAAAGUGUGGGUAUCAAACAGGAUUAGAUACCCUGGUAGUCCACACAGUAAACGAUGAAUACUCGCUGUUGGCGAUAUACUGUCAGCGGCCAAGCGAAAGCAUUAAGUAUUCCACCUGGGGAGUACGCCGGCAACGGUGAAACUCAAAGGAAUUGACGGGGGCCCGCACAAGCGGAGGAACAUGUGGUUUAAUUCGAUGAUACGCGAGGAACCUUACCCGGGCUUAAAUUGCAACUGACGGAACCGGAAACGGUUCUUUCUUCGGACAGUUGUGAAGGUGCUGCAUGGUUGUCGUCAGCUCGUGCCGUGAGGUGUCGGCUUAAGUGCCAUAACGAGCGCAACCCUUAUCGAUAGUUACUAGCAGGUCAUGCUGAGGACUCUAUUGAGACUGCCGUCGUAAGAUGUGAGGAAGGUGGGGAUGACGUCAAAUCAGCACGGCCCUUACGUCCGGGGCUACACACGUGUUACAAUGGGGGGUACAGAAGGCAGCUACACGGCGACGUGGUGCUAAUCCCGAAAGCCUCUCUCAGUUCGGAUUGGAGUCUGCAACCCGACUCCAUGAAGCUGGAUUCGCUAGUAAUCGCGCAUCAGCCACGGCGCGGUGAAUACGUUCCCGGGCCUUGUACACACCGCCCGUCAAGCCAUGAAAGCCGGGGGUACCUGAAGUACGUAACCGCGAGGAGCGUCCUAGGGUAAAACUGGUGAUUGGGGCUAAGUCGUAACAAGGUAGCCGUACCGGAAGGUGCGGCUGGAACACCUCCUUUCU
rnacentral:rRNA from 1 species